rnacentral:tRNA from 1 species
GGCUCCAUAGUGUAGUGGUCAGCACGUCUGCUUUACAUGCAGAAAGUCCAAGGUUCAUGCCCCAGUGGAGCCA